rnacentral:rRNA from 1 species
CCUAAUCAGAAAGCCACGGCUAACUACGUGCCAGCAGCCGCGGUAAUACGUAGGGGGCAAGCGUUAUCCGGAAUUAUUGGGCGUAAAGCGCGCGUAGGCGGUUUUUUAAGUCUGAUGUGAAAGCCCCCGGCUCAACCGGGGAGGGUCAUUGGAAACUGGAAAACUUGAGUGCAGAAGAGGAAAGUGGAAUUCCAUGUGUAGCGGUGAAAUGCGCAAAGAUAUGGAGGAACACCAGUGGCGAAGGCGACUUUCUGGUCUGUAACUGACGCUGAUGUGCGAAAGCGUGGGGAUCAAACAGGAUUAGAUACCCUGGUAGUCCACGCCGUAAACGAUGAGUGCUAAGUGUUAGGGGGUUUCCGCCCCUUAGUGCUGCAGCUAACGCAUUAAGCACUCCGCCUGGGGAGUACGACCGCAAGGUUGAAACUCAAAGGAAUUGACGGA